rnacentral:rRNA from 1 species
CGUGAAAUUGUUGAAAGGGAAGCGCUUGCAAUCAGACUUGCACUUGGUGUUCAUCAGGGUCUCGUACCCUGUGUACUUCAUCAAGUUCAGGCCAGCAUCAGUUUGAGUGGUUCGAUAAAGGCCCCACGAAUGUGGCCCACUUCGGGGGGCAUUAUAGCGCCAGGGCAAAUAAAAAAAACUGAGAAUGAAGACCGCGCUUCGGCGAAGAGGCAAAAAGAAUGGUUGUAAGCGACCCGUCUUGAAACACGG